rnacentral:rRNA from 2 species
GUCGAACGAACUCUGGUAUUGAUUGGUGCUUGCAUCAUGAUUUACAUUUGAGUGAGUGGCGAACUGGUGAGUAACACGUGGGAAACCUGCCCAGAAGCGGGGGAUAACACCUGGAAACAGAUGCUAAUACCGCAUAACAACUUGGACCGCAUGGUCCGAGCUUGAAAGAUGGCUUCGGCUAUCACUUUUGGAUGGUCCCGCGGCGUAUUAGCUAGAUGGUGGGGUAACGGCUCACCAUGGCAAUGAUACGUAGCCGACCUGAGAGGGUAAUCGGCCACAUUGGGACUGAGACACGGCCCAAACUCCUACGGGAGGCAGCAGUAGGGAAUCUUCCACAAUGGACGAAAGUCUGAUGGAGCAACGCCGCGUGAGUGAAGAAGGGUUUCGGCUCGUAAAACUCUGUUGUUAAAGAAGAACAUAUCUGAGAGUAACUGUUCAGGUAUUGACGGUAUUUAACCAGAAAGCCACGGCUAACUACGUGCCAGCAGCCGCGGUAAUACGUAGGUGGCAAGCGUUGUCCGGAUUUAUUGGGCGUAAAGCGAGCGCAGGCGGUUUUUUAAGUCUGAUGUGAAAGCCUUCGGCUCAACCGAAGAAGUGCAUCGGAAACUGGGAAACUUGAGUGCAGAAGAGGACAGUGGAACUCCAUGUGUAGCGGUGAAAUGCGUAGAUAUAUGGAAGAACACCAGUGGCGAAGGCGGCUGUCUGGUCUGUAACUGACGCUGAGGCUCGAAAGUAUGGGUAGCAAACAGGAUUAGAUACCCUGGUAGUCCAUACCGUAAACGAUGAAUGCUAAGUGUUGGAGGGUUUCCGCCCUUCAGUGCUGCAGCUAACGCAUUAAGCAUUCCGCCUGGGGAGUACGGCCGCAAGGCUGAAACUCAAAGGAAUUGACGGGGGCCCGCACAAGCGGUGGAGCAUGUGGUUUAAUUCGAAGCUACGCGAAGAACCUUACCAGGUCUUGA